AGUGAACGCUGGCGGUAGGCCUAACACAUGCAAGUCGAACGGCAGCACAGGAGAGCUUGCUCUCUGGGUGGCGAGUGGCGGACGGGUGAGGAAUACAUCGGAAUCUACUUUUUCGUGGGGGAUAACGUAGGGAAACUUACGCUAAUACCGCAUACGACCUACGGGUGAAAGCAGGGGAUCUUCGGACCUUGCGCGAUUGGAUGAGCCGAUGUCGGAUUAGCUAGUUGGCGGGGUAAAGGCCCACCAAGGCGACGAUCCGUAGCUGGUCUGGGAGGAUGAUAAGCCACACUGGAACUGAGACACGGUCCAGACUCCUACGGGAGGCAGCAGUGGGGAAUAUUGGACAAUGGGCGCAAGCCUGAUCCAGCCAUACCGCGUGGGUGAAGAAGGCCUUCGGGUUGUAAAGCCCUUUUGUUGGGAAAGAAAUCCAGCUGGUUAAUACCCGGUUGGGAUGACGGUACCCAAAGAAUAAGCACCGGCUAACUUCGUGCCAGCCGCCGCAGUAA
rnacentral:rRNA from 1 species